AGGACCAAGACUCACACCCUGUUCUGGAAGAUGUGAAGUCCAGUAUGAAGCUGCUGGCAGAGCUGGUGUCUGGAGAUCCGGUCACUAUGUUGUAAGAUCUUCAGAAAGCCUCGUGGGGAAGUCCAUUUGGUGAGAGACUGAGGCCUUCUACCCUAUAACCAUGUAGUUUUUGGAUAUGAAUCAACACCACCAUCUGUGAAAGGAAAAAGGACACCGCAAUUUGUAUAUUCCCAAACAUCUUUUAUCUGAGAAAAUUGGACAGCACCAUAGUGAGUUCCUGGAGGGGAAAGGGCAAAUAAAAUGUUAUCUGAAUUUUUCCCUGAAUUUUUUUCAGCUUCUCCCCAUUCACGGAUGGCCGGAUUUUUACCCUGACAGUUCUGGGUGAAAUCUGGCUCAAGGAGAGGAAGCAGACACCACAUUUCUAGAUUUUAGUGUUUUCCCUUCACAUAGAGAAGCGUCUUUUUCUGGAUUACCGAGCUCAAUGCCAACUGGGUCAUGGCAUUGGGCAAGGUUGGGGGUGACAGGGAAAGGGGCAAGGCAGGCUGUUUGCUCAGUGCCUGCUCCACAGCGCUGAGCUCCUGCUGUCUUCCUUCACCCUCACUCUAGUCUCUGAUUUUCCCUCUCGGUCCUUUGUACCUAUUUUCUUGGCUCAUUUAUGACAUUUUAGUAACACCGUCAUGGAACUAUUUUUACAAAGGAAGUGUACAAUAAUUAAUGUGAAAAAUAAGUAAUUUUUUUUCUUCUACUGAAUCUGCAUGAAAUAUUUCUCCUUCCUGGUUUCUGUAUUUAAUCACAUUCUAAGUACUGAUUGCUAAAUCCUCUUGCUUUUUAACCUGUUAGAUUAAAAUGUAAUUAAGAUUAAUUUAGAUUAAAAUGGAGAGUUUUCAUAUACCCUUAGGCCCCAACAGGUGUGAUCUUUAAAAAUUUCUCCAAAUUCUAUUCCCUGCACAAAUUAAGAACCAUUGCUUUUUUUUCUUUCUUUCCUUUUUGGAUUUCGAGAUCAUAGGGGAUAUUUGAUCAUUUCAAAUCAUGACACAUUAUGCAAGGCUCAUUCAGCAUCCCUUUCUCUUAAUACCAUUUUAUGAUAUUGCCACUCCCAUUACCACUGCCCUCAAGAACCAUGGUUCUCAUGUAUUGGCUGAGUAUCUUCUCUUUGUACGUGUUCUUGUAAAAUGUGUGUUGUUCUUCUCGGUGCAUGGAUUUUUGUACGUGUUCUUGUAAAAUGUGUGUUGUUCUUCUCGGUGCAUGGAUUUUUGUGCGUGUUCUUGUAAAAUGUGUGUUGUUCUUACCAGUGCAUGGAUUUACCGAUUAUGAGAAUCAAAUUGGGUUAUGCAGCCCCCAGUUUGUUACACAGCCUUCUUUUUUCUAACCUAGA